rnacentral:rRNA from 1 species
UACGGGAGGCAGCAGUGGGGAAUAUUGCACAAUGGGCGCAAGCCUGAUGCAGCCAUGCCGCGUGUAUGAAAAAGGCCUUCGGGUUGUAAAGUACUUUCAGUCGUGAGGAAGGUGUUAAGGUUAAUAACCUUAGCAAUUGACGUUAGCGACAGAAGAAGCACCGGCUAACUCCGUGCCAGCAGCCGCGGUAAUACGGAGGGUGCGAGCGUUAAUCGGAAUUACUGGGCGUAAAGGGCACGCAGGCGGUUAAUUAAGUUGGAUGUGAAAUCCCCGGGCUUAACCUGGGAAUGGCAUUCAAGACUGGUUAGCUAGAGUCUUGUAGAGGGGGUAGAAUUCCAUGUGUAGCGGUGAAAUGCGUAGAGAUGUGGAGGAAUACCGGUGGCGAAGGCGGCCCCUGGACAAAGACUGACGCUCAUGUGCGAAAGCGU